rnacentral:tRNA from 1 species
GGUUUGGUGGUCUAGUAGUAUGAUUCACCCUUAGGGGCGUCCAAGUGCGAUUGGGUGAGGUCCCGGGUUCAAUUCCCGGCCAGACCC